rnacentral:lncRNA from 1 species
UACUACAGAGCUUACACUGGCUAACCUUCUCUACUCUUUUGAUUGGGAACUGCCUGAUGGAAAGAAGCAGAAAGAUAUUGACACAGAUGUGAAACCUGGUAUAACUAUGCACAAGAAAAAUGCUCUUUGCCUUGUAGCAAAAGUAUAUAGUAUAGGGGACAAAUAAAUGAUAUUGUAUCAAGUGUUCAUUUAUGCUUCUACUGAGAUGUUUGCAUAAAAUAUAUAUAUUGCUGCAUCCGCAACUAAUUCUUGCUUAUACUUUUGACUUAUAAAACCCAGAAAAUUCAUUCUCUCCAAAAAUAACUUUUUCUAUUUUUCAAAUCAAAAUUUAAAAUUCAAUAACCUAGUCGUUACAAAUUUAUAAUUGUUAAUUUAUAUAUCACUCGAAAGCUUUUUAUUAUAGUUGUCUAGAAGGGUGUCGUUAUAUUUUACUCUAAAAUUUAAUGCGUAUUAAUUAUUUAUAAAUAUUAUUAAAUUAUUAAUUAAUUUUUUUUUAAAAACAUGGUUGUCUGAAUAUAUGAUAGAAAUGUUUCAUUAUCGUUGAUUAUAGGAAGAGGGGAGAGAAUACCAUCUCUACACACACACACAAUUAAUCUCCUUUCAACAUUAAUAUUGUCGGUUUGUAAUUAAUCUCCUUUCAGAAACCUGCAACCAGGAGUGAGCAUUCGAUUAUUAACCGAAUCGAAUACACAUUUCGGUUAUAAUCGAAAACCGAAUUUAUGCUGUUUUGGGUAUCCAAACAACUACCCGAAUUGACUGAUAACCGAAUAACCGAAUUAAUUAUUNNNNNNNNNNNNNNNNNNNNNNNNNNNNNNNNNNNNNNNNNNNNNNNNNNNNNNNNNNNNNNNNNNNNNNNNNNNNNNNNNNNNNNNNNNNNNNNNNNNNGAAAUUAUAAAUUUAUAAAUAAAAAAUUAAUUGCUAAAUAAUCAAAAUUCAUUGAAAAUUAUAAUUAAUUUUCAAGUCAAUGAUUUCAUAUUUAUUAUUAUUACUAUUAUUUUUAGUAAUUGCUAUAAUAAAUAUUAAAUUUAAUAUUUCAAGUUAAUAUAAAUAUCAUACCUAUUUCAAACUAAUUAAUAAACUAAUGCAUAAAGAGCCAAUAAUUAAAACUAAUACUCUAUAUAUAAAUAGAUAAUGCUCAAGUCACGAUAAGUACAAAAUUUGUUAUUAUGUCUUGAUCUCCCAAAGAUCAUAGUACUUAUAAUAUUUAAUAACUAACACAAAAAAACUGAAAGAAUAACAACGAACUAGAUAGAAUGAAGUGUACAUCAUGUUAGGUCCACUUCAUCAUCAUUUUCUUCAAGGAAAUCAAGGUUGGACAUGUAAAUUUCCUACUGCAAAAGUAACACCAAAAUUCAAUUUCGAUAAGAUGAGGAAUAAGAAAAAAUGAGUCUGAUGAACUUAUGAUCUAGUGUGUUGAAUGUGUACUGAUCAAUGUAUACGUUACCUGCUUCAAGAAAAGAGCUGCAGUAAUGGAACCACCCUGACGACCACAGGUGUUGACCAUAUCAGCUAACUCUAGAUUUAUGGAGUCCCAAUAAUUUUUUUCCAAAGGCAACCUCCAAUGUUUUUCUCCAGCAACUUCUGAAGCUGCAAGUACCUCCUUUGCCAGGUCAUCAAUAGGUAUAAAGAUUCUUGUUUAGGAAAUGUUAAAAAUGUCUUAGGUUUCCCCAGAGAUUUAGAUUCUCUUUGUAAUUUCUAUGAAAAUGAGCUGCAGAAAAAAAUUGGGCACCACAUUAGUAGCCUUAAUACCAAAAAGAAAUGCAAACUAGUGCAUAAGUAACAUUGUUCCAUAAAUACUAUGAAGGAAAAACUACUCAAACUUCAAAGAAUUUUCUUCGCUCCAAAAAAUUCAACAGCUUGACAGUCAAAUUGAUAAGAAUCUCAAGUACUAUUGUAGAGACAGAUAUCUCAUUCCAACCAGGAACUCAUCAAUGAGAAGAAGAUCACAUAUUACCUGCAAUUGAGGGCCCAAGGGUAACCACACAUGCUCCAAUCAAUGUAGCAAGAUCAACCAUCUGUUGAAAAAGUAAACAUGCUCUUAGCACAAUCUAAAUCUAUACUGUAGUUUAGUAAAGAGAAGCUUAAUACUCCUUACAGCCUGACGUAAACUAUAGAGAUUACCUCCUUACAGCCUAACGUUGAACUCCUGAAUACUCCUUAAACUUGAUUUGCAGAUCACCAAAAAACUUGAGUAGAGCACACAGUCUGUGUGUUGACUCUACAGAUGAUGUGAAUACAAUGCAGUUCUCCCCAUGCAAAGUUUGCAGUAGUGCAAUCAGAUAUAGGGGUUUAAGGUUUGGUUCACAUAUCUGCAUAGAAAAUGGGAAGAUAACAAUCAUUGCUCAUCAAUCGAAUAAUUCAUAUAUAAAAAAUUAAGAACAUACCAUAUUUUUAAUGCAAGAACAAUAUUAGAAAGAAAAGGAAAAAGGGUGUAAAAAUAUUUAAUGCAAGAACAAUAUUAGAUUAACAAAAAAAUAUUCCCUCCACACCCAUUAUCAAGUGUUGCAUUGCAAAUUGUUACUUCAAUUUCACAACAAAAGUUGAACCACAAGGUUACUAGUAACCCGGAAAAAGAAUGGAAGUACAUGUGAUACGUUAGCUUACAUAUUCCUGGCCCCCAAAAACAUUUCAUGGGGGAGCAAAAAUUGACACCAUAGUUUACAGUCUCGUGAUCAAAGAAUUCACAUUACGCAGAAUUAUCUUGCAGCAAGUUAUGUAUCUAACCGAGCCUACAACCUACUAAUCUAUCGGUCCUCCAAAGUACACAACAGAAUCAAAUGAAAUACCUCUGAUACAGCAUACUGAGGGCAGGGCUUCCCCUUGUGCUUAUUUCUUUAUUACUUGAAUCCCUGCGCUGCCAAAUUCUCUUCAUAGUUCAGAGUUUUUGUUGCAGUUCAGAGUUUUUGUUGUAGUUAGAAACAUGCCUGAAUCUCUGAGACACUGAAAGUAUAACUAAAUAAUUGACUAGGCCCAAACAUAUAAAACAAAAGGCACUAGCAAGUUUCUUUCAAUGAAGAGAGCGACCAAAACUAGAUCACACCACCUACUAAAUGUAUUCUUAGCCCUUUAAAUAUGCCCAAACCCAUAUUUGGAUUUCGGCAGCGUGAGAUGUAAAUCCACUUGAAAACUAUUGGAUGAUUCAUUCAUCUUAGCAUACUAGAGCAAAAGAACACACAAGUUUCUUCCACUAAAGUCAGUGACUAAGACAAGAUCACACACCCUGACAAAGGUGAGCCUAGCCAUUUAUUCAUAUAACACAAGAUCUAUAUUAACACGAAAAAGAAGUCUGUAGUACUAACAGAAAAAAGAAGCCUGUAAUAUUUCUACCUGAGACAAAAAUAACUUGCACUAUCCACGUACAUGACAUUCCCCCAAAACAUGAAAUUGUUCCAAGGCAUUACCAAGGUUAAGAGGCGAGACCACAGUGAAGUUGAUAUAUAUCUGCCAAAAUAUCCUACUCAAGUUACCUCGAGGUAACAAAUAUAAGCACUUGACAAAUAUGAUAAGACGUCUCUAAGCUCAUAAAUUGCACAUAGCACAAAUCACACUCCAGGUUAACAAAAAACGAUGCAUUAUGACUCCAACGAAUAAAAUAGGAAAGUGAAGACCACUGGAAAAUAGGGGAGGCAAGCAUAUGUUUAUUUAAAAAGUAGGCUAGCAUGUGUAAAUCUUUGGUAGUCAUUUAUUGUCCAGACAAGUUGAAAGAUAGAUCAAAAUGAGAUUAGAAAAGAUAGGUUGGAUGCUAUUUUUAGCUAGGGAUUGGUUAACUGUCAUCCACCUAUAAAUUACCUAACUAAUAUGUACUAGAUUGAAUUAACCUAACCAUUGAAUCAAAAUGACACCUGAAAGAUGGAAACCACAACAAUUGUGGUAACACAAUGUAUUCAUGUAUAAAUAAAAAACAAAUAUCAUACUAUCACAAUGCAUGAAAUUUGAAGUUUUCGCUCACCCCCUAGAUAGAGUAGUGUUUUUCAUUGUUUUUUUAAGAGGAGUUUAUCCUUGUAACAUGAUAUGGGUUUGUUUUAGGGUGUUCCAUAAAUAGGAUCAGGCACAUCCACCAGGAACGAUUCAAUGACUAGAGUGCCAGCUCUCCCAUCAAUCACUUCGGGAUGGACAGUAAUGACUAAAGAAUAGUUCUGCCAAAGUAACAUAAAAUUAACAUUAGAAUGUUUACAGAAAGAGAACACAUGGAGAAUUAGUAUAGAAUGGAUUAAUCUGAUGCUCCCGCAAAAUUUUAAGGAUGCGUAUGUGCUAUAAUCUAUUUUAAAUGAACUCCUUCAAAAUGCAUCAAAUACCAUAUUUGACCAAAUCAAGUGUCAAGAGGGUCUUCAUGCCUCUAGAAACCAUAUCCAACAACUCAAACCUCAUCAUAAUUUUACCAACCCUCUUUUUAUAUGCUGCCUUUAUAACAUACUUUACUUCAAACAAGUUAAGUACCAAUUUUCAACAUGCCGGAGUACAUAGAAGAUCACAUUACUCUAGAAUAAAGGCAACCCAAUUUUUUACACCUACUUUCUUUAGUCUGUAUGAAUACCAUAAAAACUCAAUUAUGUAUUGAUGACAAUAUAUUCGGAAGAAGAUGGUUGAAUAAUGUGAUGUAUGCUAUGUUAGACACAAGAUGGUCGUAUAAUGUCAUUCUGAUGGAAAAGUUUGUAAUCCAGUCACCUAGAAACAACUUUUAAUUGACACCAACUUGUGCACAACACUCCCACUUUUGAUCUGAACAAGUUCCUAACCUGCAGGAAUAUCUUGAAGAAUCUGUUCAGGUAACACCAAACAAUCAUGAUACACUUGGUGAUUCCGUGGCCUGGGGUGGUUGUACUGUAAUAUAUUUGCUUGGCCAACAACUGCAUUUUGAACUAUUUGAUUUUUCAUAUCAAGUCCUGAAUGUUGCAGAAGCGGAAGCUGCAGAAAUAACACAAUCCCACAAGAGCCCUCAGUUUGCCCAGGUAAUUGAAAUUUACUGGUCCACGGAUAGGAAAAGUUAUUUGGUGUAUCAGGUUGUUUUGAUGUCACUUUAGCAUGUUUCCAUUUAAGUCACUGAUGCAAAUAGUGUCUGCCUUUAUAUAUCUGUACUCUACCUUGCUUCAUUAGACUGAUAUUAGUAAUAGUUAUGUUACUAUUUAUUUCCUUAUCGGAUAUGUAUCAAGACCACUUUGGUUACUAUGGAACUAAUCGUUCCCACUUUAGGAACAUUUUGUUUAACCGACCUGGAUUAAGGAGUUUAGACCUUAUUAUAAUUCAAGAAAGAAAUUUUUAACACAAGGGAAUCUUUCUCUAUUCAAGGGUGGGUUUAAGGGGUUGGAUUGGAUCCUUUAUGCUUGCUCCUACCUUCAAUUUAAAUCUGUGCUUUUAUCUAUUUGGAUUCUACAUUAAAAUCAAAUACGUAUUUCCCAAUGACAGGACAUAGGAUAUUUGUGCAAAAUUAAAAGAAAGAUGUAAAAUGAUUGUCCAAGUGUCUUACAUCAUUAAAGGAAAAUAUCAUCAAACGAGAGAACGCAAGGGAAAUAGAAAAAGAUUCCUAUAAGUACUCCGGCUCACACUAGAUUUUCUCAUCUCAACCACCUAAAGAAUGGAAGAUGAGCGUUUUUCUUUUUUCCUUUUACUAGUAAGGUGUUUCAUGAGCUUAUAGAAAACUAUAAUAGCCACCAAAAAGAACAUACAAAUUUGGAUAAAAGGGAAUCGUGUCUACAUAGGGACCUAAAUACGGAAUAACUAGUUACUUAUCAGACAAAGAUAUUAAGUUGCUACUAAUUAAUCAGAUGAAAGAUACCAACAUUGUACAGAAAAAGGUUUGGAGGUACCUGGUGUCCAAGGCAAACACCUAAAAUGGGGAUGUCCCUGCAUUCAAGUAGCAACCUAAGACAAACUCCUGUGAGUUGCAAAGAACUAAACUGAUUAUUAGCUUUUACUUUGGACAUUAAUAUUUGUCAAUAACUUUCAAGAGAUACUUCUCUCCGCAAGACCACUUUCAGUUGACUGAAAUUAGUGGCCAAGGAUCAAAUCUAUAGUGCAUAUCUGGGAAUUAAAAUGUAGAGAGAUUUCCAUACUAAUAUGGAAAUAUUAUUUUGCAAUAUUGUAAAUUUUUACCUUGCUAAUUAUUUUUCAUUAUGCAGGCAGUUGCAUUUUGCAGUUCUGGAACUACAAGCCAUCGCUGCAGAAAUGCUAGUGUCCCAUUUGAUGUCGCCUCAUUAGCACGUUGACACCAGAGGUGUGUUUAUUGAGUCGGCAGGAAAAUGAAGUGAUUGAGGUCCUGGAAAAGUAAGUGAUAGCCACAGAAGAGAUUAGUGAUGAAGAAAAUUCUGAAAAAAUAAUGUGACAGAUAACACUACUCUACUUAGAAUAAAUAUUUUAACCAAAACACAUCAACUAUACACAUUAUAAACCACUUUUAGGUGCACUGGACAACAUGGGAUGAGAUUAUAUAUAUAGGAAAAAGGUUCCAAAUAAAAUUCUUCCAGGAUUUUCUGUUAUGUGAUUUCUUAUCUUUAACAACAAGAUAUAGAUCUAAAAGCUUCCUAUGUUACCUUAUGCAUUUUAAUAGUCUCUAUUACUACAUUAAUAUGCAUUAAAAAAUUUGGUUUUACAUUGUAAUUUGGCAGUUCUUUACAACCAAUUCCAUAUGAUAAAAAUAAUAUACAAGUAAAUGAAGCACAAAUCCUUUCAGCAUAAAUGAUAUAGUUAUCUAAACUCAUGCUGAUAAACUUUAGUAAUAAAUAAAAAGACGGAAUGAUUAAACUCCAAAAAAAUACAAUUUCCAAUAUACUUACAAAGUUGUAUACCAUUUUUAUUUUCCUGUAUGCAAAAAAAGGUCAAACGAAUCCAAGAAAAGGUACAUAAUGGUCUCCUAUAAGCACAUAACAUGAAUUUAUCCUACAUGGAACACAAUAAAAUGGCACCUUUAUAAGGAAAGAUAAAAAACGGAACAAACUUCACAAAUAAUUUUUAGCAAAAGAAGAAGCAUUACCUUCGGUGGAUACAGCCAAGCCCAAGGGCAAUUGAUCCAUCAUAGGAUGAAUCCAUAACCCCAGUGGCAUCAUUAAGCAGCACUCUUGUCUGUUUAUCACAAGAACUAUUAAACAUGAAAAAUCCAACAGUGUAAAAUCCAGAACCCGACUAAAUAUAUUUUUCAGGGAAAGGAACAUUCUUUGCUUGAUCGAAGCAACUAGUUAGGGAUGAUAAGCCUCUGACUAGUCCAAAAAGUGAAAUCAAACGGACAACAGAGUAUUACAUGUACACAUUAGUAAUCAUUAAUUCAAAUUCAACCAAGCACAAAAACAAAACAAAAUAGGUAGUUUGGUAUAUAAAUCAACAUGAGAUUUUAUGUCGGUCUCGAAUUUCAUAAAGUAAAGAGAGAUUGAAGAUGAAAUAAGAUCUGAUAAGGAAAAUUAAAGGGAAAUUGGUUAGUAAGGUACCAAAUUAGACGAGGAAGUCAAAUAGGCGAUGGCGAUGAGACAAAUAGAGAGAUGAGCAACAGAAAAUGACAGCACUGCUCCUAAUACAUAGGCCUGGAAAGUAACAUCACAAUUUGAGUUGAGAAGUUACUAAUGCAAUACAAGUUAUAUAGCAGGAAAUGGGAUGUAGAAGCCUAAGUUAGCAUAUGAAAUAAUUUAGCAUUCCCAAAUGUACAAAAACUCCUAUAUAAUCUGGAACUAGACUUCAGGCAUCUUAAAUCUUAUUUCAUUCAGAUUAGGGCCAAAGCAAGAGUGAGGAACAACGAUCUUGACAACAACAAGAAUUGUGCUUGAACAAUCUCACCGUAUAGUACCACCAGGAAGGCUUGGUUCAAGCUUGAUUUUCUUCCCUGCAACGUCGCUCUUGUUCAAUGCACAGAGAGUAGCUUCGACGGCUCCUGUUUAGAGUAUCACGGAUCUACAUUCCAGAAACAGGAAUUCUCCGCCGCAGCAGCCUUCGCCGAAGCCAAAGACAUUAAAAAGUAUAAGAAUAGCGUCUCUUACACAUACAAAUACACACAUACAUAUCUGUAUAUAUGAAUCAUUACAACAACUAAUAGAAUACGGAUGAACAAAGUUGUUGGAAAAAAUACCUUCUAACAAAUUGGGUCUUCGCAGUUAGGGCUUUUACAAUUGGGACAAAAAGUGCAGAUUUAAAGAUGCAAAGAUGAAGUUUGGGGUAAAAUUUUGGAAUUAAUGAUAAUCCCUUUACUCGUAGGAAACAUUAUUCACACAAUCAAAUCUCGAUCUUGCUAGUUGUGGCAAAGUAUGGCGCUAAUUUUUUAUUUCUCUCACCUAAACUAUGGCUAAGAGAGGGGAAACCAAAUUGGUAGAUACCUAACAUCUAUAUGUUGAAACUACAAUUUUGGCAAAAGAUUGAGCGAAACCUUGAUCUGGCUUCCUUCCCUUUCUCGUACGAGUCACGCACAGUACUGCUUCAAAUAAAUAAAGUUAAGUUUUUUUGAUUUUUUCUUAUGGUUUAGUACUGAACUAAUUAAAAAUAAAAUUAAAUAUUCCAAAAGUCUUUCUUAAUUAAAGCCCUUCUAAAUUGUUAUUUAACUGAAUAUUAAAUAUAAUAUCAAAAAAUAAAGUUACUUUAAAUUAAUCUCCAAAAGACUUUUUUGGAUUAUUAUUAUAUACUUAAAAUAAAAUUUAAAAUCUUUUGGAUUAUUUAAUUUUAUUUUUAUUUAAUUUUAACUUUAUUUAAUUAUGAUUAUAAAAAUAAACUUUUAUGGAGAAAUUUUAAAGUUUAACAUAGUGUAAAGUUAUUUACUUUAUAGUUUAUUAAAAUAAAUAGUUGAUAUUGUAAGUUACUUAAAAAGUGUUAUUAAAAUUAAAUUUACUAUUGUAAAAAAUUUAAGGUAUUUAUAUUCACCACAAUUAAUUCAAAAAAAAAAUAUUUAGAACAAGAUAGCAACCAAUUUUAUCCCUCGCAAAAAACUUCUGAAUAAUGAUAUAUAGUGAGUAAUAAUUUUUUCACUAAAUAGAUUUUUUCCUCGCAAAUUUUCAUCAUAAAUUGGCUCCAAAAAUCUUUCUAUCGCCCCAAUUUUGCGAGGAAAAAAAUAUAAAUUGUGAAGGAUGUUUCUUUCGCUAAUAAAUAUAUUGUCACUAUACUUUUUUCCUUCACAAUUCCUUCUCUAAACAACUCCUCAUGUGAAGGAAUAAAUUUCUUCACAAAAUUUCCUUCGCUAUAGGCCAUUUUUGGUGUAGAGAGAAAUGGCAACAUAAGUUAAAACCUCUUAAAUUGAAGUUGUGUUGAGAGAAAAAAGGGAGUCGUGUACAAAUUCUCCAUUGAACAGUACAAAUUAUUGGAGCGAGCAUAUAUAUUUAUGACUUGUCUUAAUUUUUAUUUCAAAUACACUACUACGUACAUAGGUUCUAUAAAAUUCUUUUGCCUCUUGGAUAGUAGAAAAAAUUUGACCCUCAUAUGGAGUUUUUGAAGCUUUAAUUAUAUGUGAUUCAUUCAAGUUAUGAACACCAAUAUUAUCCAUGUCAAUAUUAUCAUGAACUAAAAUUAAACAUAUCUUUAGUCAUAAUUAAAAACUUACCACGACGAUUUUGAGGUGCGAAAACUUGCUUGAUUUAUUGUGUAGUUUUCUUCCUUGAUGUCAAUUGAGGGGGCUAUAAUAUUUUGGUUAACUUGGUAGGGAAAAAAAAAUUAAUAUAUAUAUAUAUGGAAUUGAAGGAUUAUAUGAUAGGUUUGUAUAAUAUAAUUCCGAUAUAUAUGGAGUUGAAUUAUAAUGAACAAAAAUAAUGUUGACCCGGAUUUGGAAUUAGAAUUAUGAUGAACACUGUUUAUUUGUGUGACUCAGAUUUGUAAGAUUGAGGUGUUUGAUAAAAAUUGAAUGAAUCUGAAUGAGAUGAAUCUAAAUCUGAAUGAAAAAGUUGUUUGAUAAUGAAACAUCUGAAUAACAAAUUUUUAUUAUUUACCCCUCUAAAAAAAUUUAAAAUUUUUAUAAAUUUAUUUAAUAUUACUUAAUAUAAUAGUUAAUAUUGUAAAAAAAAAAAAACUUAAUUCAGCUCAAAUCGUCUGGAUGGCUGACCGAUUCAACCAUUCAGACGAUUUUUUUUUUCAAAACAAAUGCACUUAAUGGCUAACCGAUUCAGCCAUUCAAUUCUAAACAAACCACCCCUUAGAUUUGUAAGAUUCGUACUUCCUUGUGUCACUUGGAUUUGUAAGAUUUUGGAUUUGUAAGAUUGGUAUGCAUGUGACUUCAUAUAUGUGACUUGGAUUUGUAAUAUUGGUACUCCUCGGCUAGUCAUCCUAGGUUUAAAAAUGCGGCUAGGGGAUAGUUAAUUUAAAAAUGCGACUUGGAUUUGAAGUUGGUGUGUUGCUACAAAAAAGGGAGUCGUGUACAAGUUCUCCAUUGAAAGGUAGCAUAUAAAGACAACAAUAACAUAGUUGAGGAAUUAUCACGGCAGCUAUCAAAACAUCAAAAUGGCUUGUUAGAGGCAAUUAUAGAUCAGCACUGAUAACACCAAUAGAUAUUUUCUUUCCCUUUCCAAUAGUUAUCUAGGAUAUAUAACUAAGACCUACUUAUUAUGAUCACUUCACAACAUCUUUCAAUCAACAAUGGUUAUAUUUCUCCUUCUCCUUCCCCUUCUUGUACUUGUCCCUCUAUGCCUACUACUUUUCCCCCUAAAACCAAACAAAAUUGCCCAAAAACGCCGUCAUCCACCAGGUCCUCAAGGGCUUCCCUUCUUAGGAAACUUGCACCAACUUGAUAACUCAACCCUUCAUAUCUAUUUAUGGAAACUUUCUCAAAGAUAUGGCUCCCUCAUGUCCAUGAAGCUUGGUUCUGUCCCAACUCUUGUAGUCUCUUCAGCAAGAAUAGCAAAACAAGUCUUUAAAACACAUGAUCUUGCAUUUGCUAGUAGGCCAUCUUUACAUGGACAAAGGAAACUAUCUUACAAUGGAUUAGACGUGGCCUUUUCUCCAUAUAGUGACUAUUGGAGGGAGAUGAGAAAAGUUUGUGUUCUUCAUCUUUUUAGCUCCAAAAGAUCACAAUCUUUUUGCCCUAUUCGCGAAGAUGAAGUUGCCCGUCUUGUGAAAAAGAUAUGUGCUCUUGCUUCUUCGUCUCAACUCGUCAAUUUGAAUGAAAUCUUAAUGACUCUUACUACCUCCAUAAUUUGUAGAGUUGCUUUUGGUAAGAGAUAUGAUGAAGAAGGGAGUGAAAGAAGUAGGUUCCAUGAUAUUUUUAAUGAAAGUCAGGCUAUGUUUGGAAGUUUCUUUGUGUCAGAUUAUUUUCCUCUUAUGGGUUGGAUUGAUAAACUUCGAGGUAUAAGUCGAAGGUUGGAGAAGAAUUUCAAGGAUAUGGAUUCAUUCUACCAAGAACUCAUCGAUGAACACCUUAAGUCGGAGAGGACAAGCUCCAUGAAAGGCGAUAUUCUUGAUAUCCUACUCCAGUUGAAAAGGGAGAAACUAUUUUCAUUCGACCUCACUUUUGAUCACAUAAAAGGAGUGCUUAUGGUAUGUAUCAAUGUUUUUUUUUGUUUGAGAACCUAUUGUAUAUAUAUUACAAUUUAAUAAUUCUAAUGAUACAUUUCAGUCCUUCAAGUUUAGGGGGAAAUCUAGGGAAGGAACUAGGGGAGCAGAACCUAGGUACGGAACUAGGGGGAAACCUAGAGAUACUUACCUACAUAUGAAGCACUUGUGCUGGUUUUGACAACUUUGUUGAGUAAUAGACUCGAAUCUUUAACAUGUUUAGUAAAAAGAGAGGCUUUAGCACUAGGGUAUCACCUUUAGUUUGUAUGUACAUGGCCCUACAACAUGGUCCAUGUCUAUGUAUUUCUUAUGUUCUUUUAUCUUAUCAGAAUAUUGUGGUUGUUGAUCGGAUAUAUACAUACAAGUUUAUAGGAAAUUGUUGCAUCCUAUAGGGCAGAUCUAGAGUUGCAUAUUAUGACCUUCGUUAUUCAACAUGAGUGCAACUCAGUGCAACAUGGAUGCAACAUUUCUUAAUUAUAGGCUUGACAGAUGGCUUGAAAAGUUGAAUUAACUUGAUCUUAUAUUUAAGAACAGUGGAAGUAUUUCUUAUAUGUUCCUUUAUAUCUGUAGAAUAUUGUUAUUGCCGGGUCGGAUACAAGUUUAGCAGCUGUGGUUUGGGCCAUGACAGGACUAAUGCAAAACCCUCCACAAAUGAAGCAAGUACAAGAAGAGAUUAGAAAGACAAUUGGAAAGAAAGGACAUGUAGAUGAAGAUGAUCUUCAAAAGCUUGUUUAUCUCAAGGCAGUAGUAAAAGAGACUAUGAGAUUAUUCCCACCAGUUCCACUUCUUUUGCAAAGAGAAACAAUUGAUAGCUGUGUCAUUGAUGGGUAUGAAAUUCAACCAAAAACCCUAGUUUAUGUGAACGCGUGGGCGAUUGGAAGGGAUCCUGAAGCUUGGGAAAACCCAGAGGAGUUUUUGCCAGAGAGAUUUUUGGGGAAUCCUAUUGAUUUUAAAGGACAAGAUUUCGAAUUAAUUCCCUUUGGGGCAGGCCGGAGGGGCUGCCCGGCCAUAGCCAUGGGAGCUGCUACUACAGAGCUUACACUGGCUAGCCUUCUCUACUCUUUUGAUUGGGAACUGCCUGAUGGAAAAAAGCAGAAAGAUAUUGACACAGAUGUGAUACCUGGUAUAACUAUGCACAAGAAAAAUGCUCUUUGCCUUGUAGCAAAAGUAUAUAGUAUAGGGGACAAAUAAAAGUCUUCAUUUAUGCUUUAAUUUAUCAUGGCUGCUGAGGUUGUAUCACACAACUUCUACUAGAUGUUUCAUAAAAAUAGACUAUUGUAAAUUUUGUUGUUUCCAAAAAAAAUUAGUGACAAUAGUAU